GAAAAAUAAUAUAACAGACCUACAUGUAUAUGCAUAGUAUAACCAGAGAAAGGCUGAUGGUUAUUUUGCAGAAAGCUGAUUUUAUCCUCAUAGCUACCUAAUAGACAAGUUUUAAUUUGUUUGCUACAAUAAGUUGUAUAUGGUUGAAUUGGCAUCUCCAACUCCAACCUAUUACCGUUAUUAAGUUUCCGAUCAAGUUUUAUUAAGUGAGUCAUCUGUCAAGAUCAUCCAACAACUGUAAUGGCCUAGCU
rnacentral:lncRNA from 1 species